rnacentral:misc_RNA from 1 species
UUGUGACACUGGCAUAUGAGACGGCUUCGACCCAUUUGGUGAAAUAGUUGACUGCCACCAUCGCCCGUUGAUAGGUUGCCCCGGCGUUCUUGAGCCUGAAGGAUAUCACCUUAUAACAGAAAGUUCCCAUCAAGGUGAGGAACAUCGUCUUUUCCAUGUCCUCUGGUGCCAUCUUUAUUUUGGUUGUAGCCCAAGAAGCCAUCCAUAAAGGAAAACAAAGCGAAAUUGGCGGUGUUGUGCACGAGGACAUCAAUGUAUGGUAAAGGAAAGUUAUCCUUGGGACUGACUCGGUUCAGGUCCCGAUAGUCUACACACAUUUGCACCUUCCCAUCUUUCUUUGGGACAUGGAUUAUAUUAGCCACCCACU